rnacentral:rRNA from 1 species
UACGUAGGGGGCAAGCGUUGUCCGGAUUUAUUGGGCGUAAAGAGCGUGUAGGCGGUCAGGUAGGUCCGUUGUGAAAACUCGAGGCUCAACCUCGAGACGCCGAUGGAAACCAUCUGACUAGAGUCCGGAAGAGGAGAGUGGAAUUCCUGGUGUAGCGGUGAAAUGCGCAGAUAUCAGGAAGAACACCCGUGGCUAAGGCGGUUCUCUGGGCAUGACCUGACGCUGAGGAGCGAAAGUGUGGGGAGCGAACAGG